AUUCAUGGCCUGCUGCUCACCUCCCUAUUUGCAUCUCAUUGCAUAUUCAUGAGCCACCCCACUGCUCUCCUCCUCUUCCUCAUUGUUCUCAUUUGUUCUCCUUUUUCAGCACCCGCGUUCGACAAGAAGGAUGCCAAAGACGUUCUGGUGCCUCCUGCUCUCCCUGAACGGUCUUUGUUGUGAGGUGUCCCUCCGCCAGCCUGCCAGCGUAUCCGUCACCCAAGGUCAGACGGCCGAGCUGGACUGCAUCAUCGACUCGGACAAUGGGCUGAUCAUCAGCUGGUACAAGCAGAUCCCCGGAGAGGCGCCCCAGUUUAUCCUGAGUGCCUACCCUGCCCGCUGCAUGCCACACCAGUAUGGCACAGGAUUCUCCUCCCCGCGCUUCACCUUCAAAGCCAAAGGCCUGCGGAAUCACCAGCUGCUCAUCCGUGACGUGGAGGCCAGCGACUCGGCCAUCUACUACUGUGCCAGGUCUGAUGAGACAAAGGGCCCUGCAGUGACAGCGGGCAGCAGCAACAUGUGAGGGCAUGCACAUCAAGUGCCACACGCUGUGCCAGUGCUCUGCUUCUUUGAUGUACAGAAAGACAGUGAGAUGUUUCUGCCUCCUUCAUGUUUUACCAGUUUAGUGUAGUUGGUAGCAGUGCUUGCCCAUCAUCAGCCCUGUGCCUAUUUGAGUCUUCUGUGAGCCCUGUGCCCGCUUGAUUAAAUAAAAGCCAACCUGCUUGAA